rnacentral:rRNA from 1 species
GGAAUCUUCCACAAUGGGCGAAAGCCUGAUGGAGCCACGCCGCGUGUGUGAUGAAGGGUUUCGGCUCGUAAAACACUGUUGUAAGAGAAGAAUGACAUUGAGAGUAACUGUUCAAUGUGUGACGGUAUCUUAUCAGAAAGGAACGGCUAAAUACGUGCCAA